rnacentral:tRNA from 1 species
UCCCUCGUGGCGCAAUUGGCUAGCGCGUUCGACUGUUAUCCAGAGUCAUCGAGAGGUUGGUGGUUCGAGCCCACCCGAGGGAG